AUGGGUGCUGCAGCCAAGGAGAAUAGGAAAUCAGUCUCAAAUCCAUCUCUUCAACCAACUAAAAUUAGAGGUUUAUAUGGCAAGGGAGAAAUGUGACUACAUGUGGGAAAACAGGAAUUAGUGAGCGGUAAGGAUGAGGACUUGUUCAACAGGCAGCAGGUGGCUGGUUAGGCAAUCAUGAUGGGUGAGGGGUAUGGUGCCUCAUUGUCCAGAUGCAGUGAUCUGGUGGAAGAACUCAGUAAAAUACUCCAACGUGGGAGAAAUGAAGAUAAUAAAAAGUCUGAUGUGGAAGUACAAACAGAGAACCAUGCUCCUUGGUCAAUCUCAGAUUAUUAUUAUCAGACAUACUACAAUGAUGUUAGUCUUCCAAAUAAAGUGACUGAACUGUCAGAUCAACAAGAUCAAGCUAUCGAAACUUCUACUUUGAGUUCUAAAGACCAUUUACAAGUAGAAAAUGAUGCUUACCCUGGUACUGAUAGAACAGAAAAUGUUAAAUGUAGACAAGUGGACCAUUUUGCCUCAAAUUCACAGGAGCCAGCAUCUGCAUUAG
rnacentral:sRNA from 1 species